rfam:Picea glauca, whole genome shotgun sequence.
AUGCACAUUCCUACAUCAUAGCGUCAAUGCACCAGAUCCCAUUAGAACUCCGCAAUUAAGAGUGCUCAGGUUAGAGUAGUACUAGGAUGGGUGACUUAUCGGGAAGUUCUAGUGUUUUACAUG